rfam:Felis catus isolate Cinnamon breed Abyssinian chromosome C1, whole genome shotgun sequence.
GCCUGGCUGGCUCGGUGGGUAGAGCACGUGACUCUUGAUCUCUGGGUUGUGAGUUUGAGCCCCACGUUGGGUG